GACAGAGGGUGCAAACGUUGCUCGGAAUCACUGGGCGUAAAGGGCGUGUAGGCGGGAAGGAAAGUCGGGCGUGAAAUCCCUGGGCUCAACCCAGGAACUGCACUCGAAACUUCUUUUCUUGAGUGCCGGAGAGGAAAGCGGAAUUCCUGGUGUAGAGGUGAAAUUCGUAGAUAUCAGGAGGAACACCAGCGGCGAAGGCAGGCGUC
rnacentral:rRNA from 1 species